rnacentral:rRNA from 1 species
GCAAAUCAAUAUAAAUUGAUUAAUAAUUAUUUAUUAAAUUUGUUUUUUUUGUUUAUUAAUUUAUUAAAAAUAAUUAUAUAAUUGAGUGUUUUAGUAACUUUUAGUGAAAAAAUAAUAUUAAUAAUAGUGGAUUAUGUAUUGUGAAGGAUUAUUGAAAUAUUUUGAAAAAUUUUUAUUUAAAAAGAAAAUUUAAUUUAUUGUACCUUGUGUAUCAGGGUUUAUCAAAUAAUUAAUAAUUAUUUAUUAAUCUCGGUUUUAUAAGAGUUAAUGGUUUAUGAAAGUUAAUGUAUUAAAAUUAUUUUUAAUAAGUCAUUAGAAAUGAAAUGUUAUUCGUUUAUAAAGGUAUCUAGUUUUUUUAGAAAUAAAUUUAAUUUACAAAUUUUUAAUUUUUAAAUUAUUUGUUUAAUUGAAAAAUUUAUUAAUUUGAAUACUUUAAGGGAUAAGCUUUGAAGUAAAUUAUUAAAAAUUAAUAAUAAUUGUAAAAAAUGUAUGUGUAGAAUUAUCAAUCAUUUAUGAGUUUGUUAUAAAUUAUUUUAUUAUUUGUAUUAUUUAUUAUAUUUUAAUUUAUUUAUAAAAAUUUUUUCUUUAAUAGUUGAUGGAAAGUAAUAAUGAUAAAAUUAGUAUAUAUAUAUUUAUGUUAAAAUAAUUGAGUAUGAUAGGUUUAUAUAAAGAACUCGGCAAAUAUAAUACCCGCCUGUUUAACAAAAACAUGUCUUUUUGAGUUAUUUUUAAAGUCUGACCUGCCCAAUGAAUAAUUUUUGAAUGGCCGCAGUAUUUUGACUGUGCAAAGGUAGCAUAAUCAUUAGUCUUUUAAUUGAAGGCUGGUAUGAACGGUUGGACGAGGUAUAUUCUGUUUCAUAUAAAGUUGUGAUUGAAUUUUAUAUUUUAGUUAAAAAGCUAAAAUGUUGUUAAAAGACGAGAAGACCCUAUAAAUCUUUAUAUUUAAUAUUGUUCAAGUUUUUUGGAUUUGUUUUAUUUUUAUGAUAUUGAAUAUUUUGUUGGGGUGAUGUUAAAAUUUAAUAAACUUUUAAUUGUUUAAAUUCAUUAAUUUAUGAAUAAUUGAUCCAUUAAUAGUGAUUAUAAGAUUAAGUUACUUUAGGGAUAACAGCGUAAUUUUUUUGGAGAGUUCUUAUCGAUAAAAAAGUUUGCGACCUCGAUGUUGGAUUAAGAGAUAUUUUUAGGUGUAGCCGCUUAAAUGUUAAGUCUGUUCGACUUU